CCCUUCGAUGUUCGGAGCUGCACGCGCGCUACACUGUGGGUGGCAGCAUGUUAGCUUGCCUCGCUCGCAAGAGUGGGGUAAUCGUUUGAAAAUCCCACGUGAUUGGGAUAGGGACUUGUAAUUAUUUCCCUUGAACGAGGAAUGCCUAGUAAGCGCAAGUCAUCAGCUUGCGUUGAUUACGUCCCUGCCCUUUGUACACACCGCCCGUCGCUCCUACCGAUUGAAUGGUCCGGUGAAGCGUUCGGACCGUGGCCUUUGGACGGUUCGCCGUCUGUUGGCUGCGGGAAGUUCGUUAAACCUUAUCAUUUAGAGGAAGGAGAAGUCGUAACA
rnacentral:rRNA from 1 species